rnacentral:tRNA from 1 species
CGGGGCGUAGCGCAGCCUGGUAGCGCGCUUGCUUCGGGAGCAAGAGGUCAGGAGUUCAAAUCUCCUCGCCCCGACCA